UAAUACGGAGGGUGCAAGCGUUGUCCGGAUUUAUUGGGUUUAAAGGGUGCGUAGGCGGCCCGGUAAGUCAGUGGUGAAAGCCUCCAGCUCAACUGGAGAACUGCCAUUGAUACUGCCGGGCUUGAGUACAGACGAGGUUGGCGGAAUUGAUUGUGUAGCGGUGAAACGCAUAGAUACAAUCAAGAACUCCGAUUGCGUAGGCAGCUAACUAGGCUGUAACUGACGCUGAGGCACGAAAGCGUGGGGAGCGAACAGGAUUAGAUACCCUGGUAGUCCACGCCGUAAACGAUGAUUACUCGAUGUUGGCGAUAAACUGUCAGCGUCUUAGCGAAAGCGUUAAGUAAUCCACCUGGGGAGUACGCCCGCAAGGGU
rnacentral:rRNA from 1 species